CUGGCAUUGUUUUGAGAGGGUUAACUAAGAUUAAUGAGAAAAGAAACAUGAAGCCAUGGAGGAUCAACAUAACAAAUCAAUGGCUGAAUAAAUUUAAUGUGUAUUCCAGCUGUACUUUACCUGGCAUCAGCCUGAUUCUUAAGACUGUAUCUCUUGUGCUUCUAAAUAGCCCACUAAGACAUGAGCACUGCUUCCAGUUUAAUAACGCUUUAUUUAAGCUUUACGUAACAGUCAUCAAUGUAUUGAUUUAGGAGGAAUUUGCAGAAUAAAAAGGAAUGUUUAAUAAGAUACAAAUAAGCUCCUCCAGCAUCCUCCGGUCCCCAUCCUUAGUCUUUGCAAACUGUGUCUUCAGUAUAUUAAUUCAGGACAACAGAGUCAUUAGAAAAUAAAAUGGAACUUGCUUGUAGUCACUGUGAGUCUGAACCUCGGACACUGCAUGAAGUAACUUCCCUGGAAGGUGAACUCUCUCAGGUAAAGGAAGAGCUGCUUCAACUCAGAGACACAACGACCAAACCACUUGGCAGUGGGCACAAAAAACGGAGACUGAACACUAAGAAACUGAAUGCACAAGGUUCAAUUUUUGGGAUCCUCUCACAGCCUGGCAAGACUCCUGCAUUUUCAAAUGCUCACAUAGCUGCACUUGCUGCUUCACUGAAAAUAAUAGUACUGUGCUAAACAGCAUCAUCGUGGGAUCACUUAUGGGAUUUAGUUGUGUUUAAGGGGUGAAGGCGAGGAUACUGCAAAGUGAAAUCCUCCAGUGCAAAGAAAAUAAGGUACACUUCCUAUAAACCCCUGAAAUAGCUGCAUUUCAUGUAAGUGGUUGAAAUGUUUGUGGGGAAAAAAAUGUACUAGAAGAUUUUUAUUUACUCCCUAGGUUAUAAUGACUUGGUAGGAUUUGUCAGGAUUGAUGGAUAAAGGGGCAGACUUUGUGGCUACUUAAUCUCCAGAGCUGAAAAUAUUUCUUCAUUUGAAUGAGGAAACUUGUUAUGCUGCUGGGUGGUUAUUCAUUGUAUGGAUUAUUGUUUAGAGCUAGAGUGUGGUCUUUUAUUUUUGAUAUUUAAAUGGAAAGAAAAAAUAAAUAGCGUGUCCUUUUCAAAGCAAACAUUUCAAAAUGACUAGUCAAUACUGACUAUUAAAAAAAAAAA
ensembl:lncRNA